rnacentral:rRNA from 1 species
GACGUAGGGCGCGAGCGUUGUCCGGCUUUAUUGUGCGUAAAGAGCUCGUAGGCGGCCUGUCGCGUCGUCCGUGAAAACUUGGGGCUCAACCCCAAGCUUGCGGUCGAUACGGGCAGGCUAGAGUUCGGUAGGGGAGACUGGAAUUCCUGGUGUAGCGGUGAAAUGCGCAGAUAUCAGGAGGAACACCGGUGGCGAAGGCGGGUCUCUGGGCCGAUACUGACGCUGAGGAGCGAAAGCGUGGGGAGCGAACAGG